rnacentral:lncRNA from 1 species
CUUGAUGGCCUAUAGCUACACUUCAGGUCAUUAACCCCAGCUGGUCAUUAGUUCCCAGAAAAUGCCCAGCACCAAAGUCAUUAUUACUGCUUGAAGCAGGUAAAAAAAAAAAAAAGAAAAAAAAAAGGAAAAAAGGAAAAAAUAACACACACAACAAACAGCCAAACAUAACAAAGAAUUCCUCAGCAGCUCUAUAUGUAUUAUCAUAGACUAUAUUGGGUUGGAAGGGCCCUUAAAGAACAUCUGGUUCCAACCAUGGGCAGGGACACCUCCCACUAGAUCAGGUUGUCCAAAGCCCCAUCCAGCCUGGCCUUGAACACCUCCAGGGAUGGGGCAUGCACAGCCUCUCCGGGCACUUUGUGUCAGAAUUUCCUCCUAAAAUCUAAUCUAAAUCUACUGUCUUUUAGUUGAAAACCAUUCCCCCUUGUCCUUUCAUUAUCCACCUGAGUAAAUAGUCUUUUAUAUAGAGGAGUUCUCCAUCUUUUUUAUAAGACCUCUUUAAGUACUGAAAGGUUACAAUGAGGUCUUGCCUUUGUCUUCUCUCCUUUAGGCUGAACAUCGCCAGCUCUCUCAGCCUGUCUUCAUAGAAGAGGCACUCCAGCCCUCCAGUCACCUUUGUGGCCGUCCUCUGGAACCGCUCCACAUCCUGCUUGUGCUGGGGGCCCCAGACCUGGAUGCAACACUGCAAGUGGGGUCUCACAAAGGCAGAGCAGAGGGGGACAAUCACCUCCCUUCCCUGCUGGCUACUUCUUGUUUGAUGCAACCCAGGAUACAACUGGCUGUAUUAUGGUCAAGGUUCAACAUUUCAAAGGAUGGUCCAGAAGAAGAUCCCUGGACAGACAAGCCAGCCUUCUGCCCCAUCUAUGAAUACAG